CGGGGCGUAGCGCAGUCCGGUAGCGCGCAUGGUUCGGGACCAUGAAGUCGGCGGUUCAAAUCCGCCCGCCCCGA
rnacentral:tRNA from 1 species